GGAUGCGAUCAUACCAGCACUAAAGCACCGGAUCCCAUCAGAACUUCGAAGUUAAGCGUGCUUGGGCGAGAGUAGUACUAGGAUGGGUGACCUCCUAGGAAGUCCUAGUGUUGCAUUCC
rnacentral:rRNA from 16 species